rnacentral:rRNA from 1 species
CCUACGGGUGGCAGCAGUGAGGAAUAUUCGGCAAUGGACGGAAGUCUGAACCAGCAACGCCGCGUGCAGGAAGACGGCUCUCUGAUUUGUAAACUGCUUUUGUACAAGGGUAAACCUGAAUAAGUAUAUUCAGCUGACAGUACUGUACGAAUCAGGAUCGGCUAACCUCGUGCCAGCAGCCGCGGUAAUACGGAGGAUGCAAGCGUUAUCCGGAUUGAUUGGGUUUAAAGGGUGCGUAGGCGGUUUGAUAAGUUAGAGGUGAAGUGUCCGGGCUUAACUCGGGAGGGGCAUGUCAUACUGGUGGACUAGAGAGCAGAAGAGGAAGGCGGAAUGUAAGGUGUAGCGGUGAAAUGCGUAGAGAU